AGGAAUCAAAUUAACUUCUCUCUCAACUCUGUCGUCCUCUUUCUCUCUCCCUGUCUCCGGUGAGCGUCGCCGGCCUUCGCCGCCUCCGGCGCGGCGAGGUCUGCCUCUCCUCUCCCCCCUUCCUUUCUUUCCAUUUCUCUUUUCCCUAUGUUUCAAUCCCCAAAUUAUAAAAUCAAAAUCCUAGGGUUUCUACCUCUCUUCAUCCCCUCUGGAAUUCGUCUCUCCGGCGAAGCCUGCCGCCCCGCCGUCGUCUCUGUCACGCCGCCGCCUCUUCUGACUCAGGAAUGGGUGAUUCGAGAUGGUUUGAGAUGAUUUCAUCGUGGCAGUUCAUCAACGGCCGAAGACUGUUUUUAUAAGACUCAGCCUUCUAUUUGGGUUAUUAUUGAUUAAUAAACUGUUGUAACUAGAUGUAUUCUGUAGAUGUUAAAGAAAAUUGAUGUUAUCUCUGCUGUUCUUGAAAUUGAUGUAUUCUGUAGAUGUAUUCUUGAAAUAGAUGUUCAUCAAAAUUGAGUUGUAGAAAGAAUACUACCUGCUUGUUUGCUGUGAUGACUGCAAGGGAUGAUUUAUGUUUUUGGAUGGA